rnacentral:lncRNA from 1 species
GCAGGACUCCCUCCAGGGUGGCAGGAACAGCAGUUUGGGAGUGGCAUUUUGGAGGCCUGGGGACUGUCCCCACAUCACCAACCAGUGUGUCAGGUGCUCCCACUGUUUCCACCUCGGCUGCCCAGGGCUCUGGCAUGACUCUGAGGUGACAACUGCAAAGAUUCUACCCACAGCCACCAACCAUCACCAAGCCCGAAACACUAAACCUUACCAGCGUUGCUGACAACCAUCUGCUAGGGCAGUUCGCACUGCCUGCACCAGGAAAGGCUGCCCAGAGGCUUGAGGACGUGCCCAGAAGCCCCAGGGCGCCAGGGGAACAUGUCAGUGAAGCGUGUGUGGCUGGGGACUCCCUGGCUCAACUGGGCUCCCAACCCCUAUCCUGCUGGUCCCUUGGCUCUUCCCAAGGGCUCCAUGAAGUUCACAGACUGGCUGGUUCUAGGGCCAGCAGGAACCGCCCUCGCAGGUGGGAAGCCCAUGCAAAGCACUGCUUUCAGGAUCACAGGCAGGUCGGGGGCCGAGGGCUGAGCCCUGAACCAUUCUCCGCUUUAAACCUUUGCUUAAGGAAAACUGUUUAGCAAAAGAACACGACAAAAAGACCCAUCUGUGUGCACAGAAAGGAAUCCUGAGGUGAGGAGAGAAGGAAGGAAUCCUGAGGUGAGAGAAGGAAGGAAUCCUGAGGUGAGGAGAGAAGGAAGGAAUCCUGAGGUGAGCAGAGAAGGAAGGAAUCCUGAGGUGAGGAGAGAAGGAAGGAAUCCUGACGUGAGCAGAGAAGGAAGGAAUCCUGAGGUGAGAGAAGGAAGGAAUCCUGAGGUGAGAGAAGGAAGGAAUCCCGAGGUGAGCAGAGAAGGAAGGAAUCCCGAGGUGAGCAGAGAAGGAAGGAAUCCCGAGGUGAGAGAAGGAAGGAAUCCUGAGGUGAGGAGAGAAGGAAGGAAUCCUGACGUGAGCAGAGAAGGAAGGAAUCCUGAGGUGAGAGAAGGAAGGAAUCCUGAGGUGAGCAGAGAAGGAAGGAAUCCUGAGGUGAGCAGAGAAGGAAGGAAUCCCGAGGUGAGAGGUGAGCAGAGAAGGAAGGAAUCCCG